GGGCGCAGGGAGCCGCCUCCGCGCUGUGCAUGGCCAAGCUCCUGGCCGAGCUCCUGGGCUGCGCGCUGCCGGGCACGGGCGCCUCGCCCACGUGCGAGUCCAAAAGUCAUUCCCGAGUUGGCCUGAAAUCAAGCACCAAGCAAAAGACCACCAUUUUCAGCACACUGGCCGGUGAGAAGUCCUUAUCAGACUGCAAAAAGGAGCAGCAAUGGAAGUCCCCUGUGUGCAGCAGCAUGACUCCAGUCUGCUUCCCGA